GUCUGAGACCCCGAAACUAGACGAGCUACUCCGAAGCAGUCUAAAAGGACUAACCCGUCUCUGUGGCAAAAGAGUGGGAAGACUUCCGAGUAGAGGUGAAAAGCCUACCGAGCCUAGUUAUAGCUGGUUGCUUAAGAAAAGAAUAUGAGUUCAGCCUUAUAAGUUUCUCAAAAUCAAAAUGAAAGAAUAAAGUAACACAUAAGAGUUAGUCGAAGGGGGUACAGCUCCUUCGAAAAAGAACACAACCUUACCCAGGUAAAUAAGGAUUAUACUAAAAAAGGACAUGACUUUCAACAGUGGGCCCGAAAGCAGCCACCUCUAAUAGAAAGCGUUAAAGCUCAAGAACAGCCACACCAAAAAUAAAAAUAACCACUCCUAAUUUCCUAAUAAUAUUAAGCUACCCUAUUUUAUAGGAGAAAUUAUGCUAAAAUGAGUAAUAAGAGAAACUAGACCCUCUCCGGGCACACGUGUAAAUUAGAGCGGACAAACCACUGACAACUAACGGACCCAAAAAAGAGGGUAAAACAACAAAACUCAAUAAACAAGAAAAACCUAUUAAAACAACCGUUAACCCAACACAGGAGUGCCACUUAAGGAAAGACUAAAAGGGGAAGAAGGAACUCGGCAAACACAAACCUCGCCUGUUUACCAAAAACACCGCCUCCUGCAAAUAGAAUGUAUUGGAGGUCCUGCCUGCCCAGUGACAAUAGGUUCAACGGCCGCGGUAUUUUGACCGUGCAAAGGUAGCGUAAUCACCUGUCUUUUAAAUAAAGACCUGUAUGAAUGGCAAGACGAGGGUUUUACUGUCUCCUCCCCCCAGUCAAUGAAAUUGAUCUACCCGUGCAGAAGCGGGUAUAAAAACAUAAGACGAGAAGACCCUAUGGAGCUUUAGGCACACAUCAAAUAUGUAAAAAACCAAAUCUUCCAAAUAGGCCUAAAAAAUGAGAAAAACAAGUAUUAAUGAUUAAUUGCCUUCGGUUGGGGCGACCACGGGGAAAAAUAAAACCCCCACAUGGAAUGGGUAAAAUUAUCCUAAGCCAAGAAAAACAAUUCUAAGCAACAAAAUUUUUGACCAAUAAACGACCCAGGGACAACAUCCCUGAGCAAUGAACCAAGUUACCCUAGGGAUAACAGCGCAAUCCUUUCCCAGAGCCCAUAUCAACGAAAGGGUUUACGACCUCGAUGUUGGAUCAGGGCAUCCUAACGGUGCAGCCG
rnacentral:rRNA from 1 species